ensembl:snRNA U1 U1 spliceosomal RNA
GUACUUUUAUGGCAGAGGAGAUACCGUGAUCAAGCAGGUGUUUUUCCAGGCUGAGUCCUGUCCAUUAUUGUGGGCAGACUGAUCCUUGAAAGAUUCCUCUGUGCAGGAGACUUGACUGCAGAAUUUUGUGGUAAUGGGGGAUUGUGUUUGUACUUUCCUCUU